rnacentral:rRNA from 1 species
AUGUCAGCAAUUGAGGAAAUGGCUAUUUGGCCUGAACUUGGUUGUUGUCAGGCUAUUUGGCCUCACAGUGGUCACUACCGCCCCACAGAGGAGAAUUUCCAGGAGUUCAAAAGCUUCCUCAAUGACAACUUGGUUGAUCUGCUCAGGCAAGAAGCAGCAGCAGCGGUAGAUGCAGGGACGCCUGUAAUGACCCCUGUGGCCACGAACCUGGUCGUGGAGAUGCAGGGACGCCUGCCCAUGCUACAGCAAGGAGGAGAGGAAGAUGGAGCCGCGGCGCAUGAGCCUGGCAGCGGUGGAAGAUGGAGGCCCGGCGCCUGA